CUAAAAAGUCUUAAGACCCACCCAGACCAACACGAACGCUGGCAGCAAGGCUGGGUUAUGAGGAGAUGUUUGGCGAUUACUGGGUGAGACGGAGGUCAAUUGUCAUGGACCUUGCAGCCUUCAUAUUAUGGAUGGCAAGCGGAAGCACAGACAUCUUCAGAAGCUCACCCAGCUACUCAUUAAGAGAAAGAUUCUGCUUUAUCUACCACAAAACCCUGGUUUUCUAAAAGAAGGAAAGAAAGAAACAAAGAACAAGACAAGCAAUAACACCUGCGUCUUUGUCGCUGGCCAUGAAGAUGAAAUGAGGUAGUGCCUCUAUGGUGAUCACUCUGACAGGAGACAGGCGCUGCACAUGUCAGAGGCUCUGAUGCUGACCCCACCCCUAUCCCACGAGUCUCAGUCUUUUUUAGUAGACUGAGCAAUGGCUCUUGCUCUAUGCACUUUUUUGGACCUUGCUGAAGCUACAGACCCCUCCGUAUUCCAAGGAAGGAUAUUGAUUGGAAGGUCACAGAGGGACUGACCCCAGCUAGACUAGGCUCCAUCAGAAGGCCGAUGCUUGCAGUUGAAAGCUCAAGAUCUGGGAGAGGACCGCAUGCCCAGGGUCUGGAGCCCAAAGAAUUGGGGGCUUUGCACAUAUAGCACAUACUUGGAUCACACAUUAAAUGAUACCCACUU
rnacentral:lncRNA from 1 species